AUGCUCCUGCUCUAUUCCCCAUCCUGCCUGCUCCAUUCCUGCUCCAUUCCUGCCCCAUUCCCCAUCCUGCCUGCUCCAUUCCUGCUCCAUUCCCCAUCCUGCCUGCCCCAUUCCUUCUCCAUUCCCCAUCCUGGCCUGUUCCCUUCCUGUUCCACUCCCAAUCCCUGCUGCCUCCAUUCCCAACUCCUGCCUGUUCCCACUCUGUUCCCAGUCCCUGCCAGCUCCAUCCACAAUUCCUACGCCUUCCCUCCCUGUUCUACUCCCCCUAUCACCUCACUCUCCACUCCAUUUUCAAUCCCUUCCUACUUGUUUUCUGCUCCAUUCCCAAUCCCUGCUGCCAGCUCCAUUCCCUCUCUAUUCCCAUUCUCUCUCCAUUCCCACUCCCCACCCACUCCAUUCCCUCUUUAUUCCCAAUCCCACCCGUUCCCAUUCCCUUUCUAUUCCCAUUGCCUCUCCAUUCCCAAUCCCUGCUCGUUCCCAUUCCCGCUCCAUUCCCCUUCCCGCCCAUUCCCAAUCCCACCUGUUCCCAUUCCUGCUCCACUCCAUUCUCUUUCUAUUCCCAUUCCCACUCCAUUCCCAAUCCCUGCCCAUUCCUAUUCUUGCUUCUUUCCCUCUCUAUUCCCAUUCCUGCCCCAUUCCCAAUCCCACCUAUUCCCAUUCCCUUUCUAUUCCCAUUGCCUCUCCAUUUCCAAUCCCUGCUUGUUCCCAUUCCCGCUCCAUUCCCAAUCCCACCCGUUCCCAUUCCUGCUCCUCUCCAUUCCCUCUCUAUUCCCAUUCCUGCUCUAUUCCCAAUCCCUGCCCGUUCCUAUUCUCGCUCCACUCCCUCUCUGUUCCCAUUCCCACUCCAUUCCAGCUGCUGGUUCCAUUCCCUCUCUAUUCCCAUUCCCACUCCAUUCCAGCUGCUGGUUCCAUUCCCUCUCUAUUCCCAUUCCCACUCCAUUCCAGCUGCUGGUUCCAUUCCCUCUCUAUUCCCAUUCCCACUCCAUUCCAGCUGCUGGUUCCAUUCCCUCUCUAUUCCCAUUCCCACUCCAUUCCAGCUGCUGGUUCCAUUCCCUCUCUAUUCCCAUUCCCACUCCAUUCCAGCUGCUGGUUCCAUUCCCUCUCUAUUCCCAUUCCCACUCCAUUCCAGCUGCUGGUUCCAUUCCCUCUCUAUUCCCAUUCCCACUCCAUUCCAGCUGCUGGUUCCAUUCCCUCUCUAUUCCCAUUCCCACUCCAUUCCAGCUGCUGGUUCCAUUCCCUCUCUAUUCCCAUUCCCACUCCAUUCCAGCUGCUGGUUCCAUUCCCUCUCUAUUCCCAUUCCCACUCCAUUCCAGCUGCUGGUUCCAUUCCCUCUCUAUUCCCAUUCCCACUCCAUUCCAGCUGCUGGUUCCAUUCCCUCUCUAUUCCCAUUCCUCCUCCAUUCCCAAUCCCGCCCAUUCCCAAUCCCGCCCGCUUCCAUUCCCACUCCAUUCCCAAUACCGCCAGUUCCCAUUCUCGCUUCUUUCCCUUUCUUUCCCUUUCUUUCCCUUUCUUGCCCUUUCCCGCCCUUUCCCGCCCUUUCCCGCCCUUUCCCGCCGACCCCCCCCCCCCCCCCCCCCCCCCCCCCCCCCCCCCCCCCCCCCCCCCCCCCCCCCCCCCCCCCCCCCCCCCCCCCCCCCCCCCCCCCCCCCCCCCCCCGUCCCGCUCCGCCGGCUCCUGGGAAUCCCGAGAAUCCCGGGAAUCUUGGGCGGGGGGCCGAGGGUGCUGGGGCUCCCCGGGGCAGCACCGAGGCUGCUGGGGCUCGCCGAAUCAGCACCGAGGCUGCUGGGGCUCCCCGGGGCAGCACCGAGGGUCUCCCCUCUGUAA
rnacentral:lncRNA from 1 species